UGAACGCUGGCGGCAUGCCUAACACAUGCAAGUCGCACGCGAAAGCGGGGCAACCCGCAAGUAGAGUGGCGGACGGGUGAGGAAUACAUGGGAAUCUACCCAGUCGUGGGGGACAACCCGGUGAAAACCGGGCUAAUACCGCAUACGACCCACGGGUGAAAGCGGGGGACCUUCGGGCCUCGCGCGAUUGGAUGAGCCCAUGUCCGAUUAGCUAGUUGGCGGGGUAAAGGCCCACCAAGGCGACGAUCGGUAGCUGGUCUGAGAGGACGGCCAGCCACACUGGGACUGAGACACGGCCCAGACUCCUACGGGAGGCAGCAGUGGGGAAUAUUGCACAAUGGGCGCAAGCCUGAUGCAGCAACGCCGCGUGAGGGACGACGGCC
rnacentral:rRNA from 1 species